GUUGUAGACCGGCCCGACC
rnacentral:misc_RNA from 1 species